UACGUAGGGUGCGAGCGUUGUCCGGAAUUAUUGGGCGUAAAGAGCUUGUAGGCGGUCUGUCGCGUCUGCUGUGAAAAUCCGGGGCUCAACCCCGGACUUGCAGUGGGGUACGGGCAGACUAGAGUGUGGUAGGGGAGACUGGAAUUCCUGGUGAUAGCGGUGAAAUGCGCAGAUAUCAGGAGGGAACACCGAGUGGCGAAGGCAGGUCUCUGGGCCACUACUG
rnacentral:rRNA from 1 species